rnacentral:rRNA from 1 species
AGAGUUUGAUCCUGGCUCAGGAUGAACGCUGGCGGCGUGCUUAACACAUGCAAGUCGAACGGUGAAGCAGAGCUUGCUCUGUGGAUCAGUGGCGAACGGGUGAGUAACACGUGAGCAACCUGCCCCGGACUCUGGGAUAAGCGCUGGAAACGGCGUCUAAUACUGGAUACGAGCAGCGGAGGCAUCUCCAGCUGCUGGAAAGAUUUUUUGGUCUGGGAUGGGCUCGCGGCCUAUCAGCUUGUUGGUGAGGUAAUGGCUCACCAAGGCGUCGACGGGUAGCCGGCCUGAGAGGGUGACCGGCCACACUGGGACUGAGACACGGCCCAGACUCCUACGGGAGGCAGCAGUGGGGAAUAUUGCACAAUGGGCGGAAGCCUGAUGCAGCAACGCCGCGUGAGGGACGACGGCCUUCGGGUUGUAAACCUCUUUUAGCAAGGAAGAAGCGAAAGUGACGGUACUUGCAGAAAAAGCGCCGGCUAACUACGUGCCAGCAGCCGCGGUAAUACGUAGGGCGCAAGCGUUAUCCGGAAUUAUUGGGCGUAAAGAGCUCGUAGGCGGUUUGUCGCGUCUGCUGUGAAAACCCGAGGCUCAACCUCGGGCCUGCAGUGGGUACGGGCAGACUAGAGUGCGGUAGGGGAGAUUGGAAUUCCUGGUGUAGCGGUGGAAUGCGCAGAUAUCAGGAGGAACACCGAUGGCGAAGGCAGAUCUCUGGGCCGUAACUGACGCUGAGGAGCGAAAGGGUGGGGAGCAAACAGGCUUAGAUACCCUGGUAGUCCACCCCGUAAACGUUGGGAACUAGUUGUGGGGUCCAUUCCACGGAUUCCGUGACGCAGCUAACGCAUUAAGU